UGGUGGGUCGCCGUUUCAUCAGAAGCCGGAGGACGGGCGCCAGGGGGCAACUUCCUACAGGAGGGCGUCCCGUUAGAAUGACAGGGCUUUUGCAAAAGUCUGACACCCGUGGCACAGAGCGCCCCAGAUAUGGAGGGUUUCACAGUUGACUCUUGAACAAUGUGGGGGCUUGGGGCACCAACCCCCUGUGCAGUUGAAAAUCGACAUAUAACUUUGACUCGCCAAAAACUUCACUACAAUAGCCUGCUGCCAACCUGAAGUCUUACCAAUAACAUCAACAGUCAAUUAAACAUAUUACUAGGCUGAAAAGGAGAAGGAAGUGAAGGGGUUGGUCUUGCCGUCUCACGAGUGGCAGAGGCAGGAGAAAAUCCAAAUUAGAGACGGGGUUCCACCGUGUUAGCCAGGAUGGUCUCGAUCUCCUGACCUCGUCAUCCUCCCGCCUUGGCCUCCCAAAGUGCUGGGAUUACAGGCUUGAGCCACCGCGCCCCGCUCUUUCGUGUUCCAAAGGCUUUUUAAAUAAACUUCCACUCCUGUCCUGGAUUCUGCUUUAUGGCCCUCAGUCGAAUUCUUUCUUCUGAGGAGGCAAGGACUGAAGUUGCUUCUGACCAGUACAGAUUGGGAAGGAGAAAGUCACUUGACUCACAGGCCAACUGCUAUGGACUGAAUUGUGUCUUCCCCUCAUUAAUAUGUUGAAACCCUAUCCUCCCUCCAAUGUGAUGGUAUUUGCAGAUGGGGCUUUUGGGAAGUAAUGAAGUUUAGAUGAGGCAUGAGGGCUGGAUGGAUAUGAUCAGAUGAGUGCCCAAAGAAGAGACACCAGAGAGCUAGCUUCUUCUUUCUCUUUCCACCUUUACACACUGAGAAAAGGCCAAGUGAGCACACACCAAGAAGGCAGCCAUCUGCAAACCCAAGGAGAGAGUCCUCACUAGACACCCUGCUGGUACCUUGAUCUUGGACUUCUAGCCUCCAGAACUGUGAGAAAUAAAUUCCUGUUGUUCAAGCUAGUAUUAAUACCUGGUGUUUUGUUAUGGCAGCCUAAGUGACUAAGACACCAACUUAAUUUACUUAGCCAGGGUCAAUCAGUGGUAGGGCCCAGGAUUCUGACCCAGUUCUGCCUAACUCCACAAUUCAUGCUUUUUCUGGAUAUAAACAUCUGCCUUCCCAGUUUCCCUGACUCUUAGAGCCGUGGAGCAGUGUGUGUCAUGUGCUGCACACCCAGGCUGGAACAGCCUGUCUCCAGGAGAAAACGAAUACAGCAGGGAUGACUUCCACCAGCUCCACUUUGCAGCUCUGAGGUGUAUUAAAAAUAAACCUAGAGCCCCACCAAAUGAAUCCGCUGGCACGUGGACCUCAGAUGGGGGAAACUGAGGACUGAAUUCUGACCACCCUCCUUUGUUCUAAAUUUCUUCCUGAAGGACCUGGAAGAAGUCAUGCCACGGGCCAGACCUUAACAUUCCUUUCGGCUUACCCCAGGAUUUCAGACGAAGCUUCACUUUCCUAACCAGUCACAAAUCAGAGAAUUUUUGAUUCCACCUAUGACCUGUG
ensembl:lncRNA PPP1R3B-DT PPP1R3B divergent transcript